rnacentral:rRNA from 1 species
GAUGAACGCUGGCGGCGUGCCUAAUACAUGCAAGUCGAGCGAACGGACGAGAAGCUUGCUUCUCUGAUGUUAGCGGCGGACGGGUGAGUAACACGUGGAUAACCUACCUAUAAGACUGGGAUAACUUCGGGAAACCGGAGCUAAUACCGGAUGAUAUUUUGAACCGCAGGGUUCAAAAGUGAAGGACGGUCUUGCUGUCACUUAUAGAUGGAUCCGCGCUGCAUUAGCUAGUUGGUAAGGUAACGGCUUACCAAGGCAACGAUGCAUAGCCGACCUGAGAGGGUGAUCGGCCACACUGGAACUGAGACACGGUCCAGACUCCUACGGGAGGCAGCAGUAGGGAAUCUUCCGCAAUGGGCGAAAGCCUGACGGAGCAACGCCGCGUGAGUGAUGAAGGUCUUCGGAUCGUAAAACUCUGUUAUUAGGGAAGAACAUAUGUGUAAGUAACUGUGCACAUCUUGACGGUACCUAAUCAGAAAGCCACGGCUAACUACGUG